CACGUUCGUAAGAGAUCAAGCAGAGUUCGAUGACAAGCAGCGGAAAUCGCGAUUUCUUUCUCUCGACUCACCGCGAUGACGUCGAUGCAUCGCAAAAGUAUAGACGGUAAAAUCCGUCCGGCAUUAACGAGUUUAUUCGCUCGCAUCAAGAAUAGGUAGGAAUGUGAAGAAGAGAGCUUCUCGCCCUGUUUCACCUGCACGUUUCGUCGAGAGCAUGGAAAGAGGGGUGGGAAACUAAAGAAGACACCUACCUUCAUAGGGAAACGACAUAACUUCACGUCGCGCCCUAAACGUCCCCACCCCUGAGAGAUCGUGAAGGACUUUUGAAGUUAAAUCGGAUCGAGAUUAUAUGGCUCGAUAUCGUUCAUGAUGGAACGCAGCCUAUUCUUUGGGGAUUAACUGAUUUUGACAGCCGCCAUAGUUAUCGUGCUUUUAUACAUACCGCUCUGUCAUUGUCACUAUUUUGUCAGAUUGUCGGCACGUUAAAAAUCGGGUACUGUUGUAGAUCUCGUAGAUCUCGGGAGAAGCAUCCAUAACUGACGAACCGUGAAAUCACAAUUUGCUCGCAGAUUAUGUUCGCUGAUCGUCGAAGUUUGAGAAGCGUGAAACCGAGAGGGUGGAGCGUGACGCCACUUGAUGCCGCUACUCAAGUAGCACGUGUAUUUUCACACUAUUGAGCUUGUUGUAAGUUAAAAUAUCUAAGAGGUAAAUAUCUAUCCAAUUAAAAAGGAUACAGGUGAACAUAUGCAAGUGAAUAUUGUAAUUUGAUAAUUAAUGUGAUAUAUUACUAUUACUGAAUAAA